UGCCAGCCGCCGCGGUAAUACGGAGGGUGCGAACGUUGCUCGGAAUUAUUGGGCGUAAAGCACAUGUAGGCGGCGCAGCAAGUUGGAUGUGAAAGCCCAGGGCUUAACCUUGGAACUGCAUUCCAAACUGUAUGACUGGAGUACGAGAGAGGGGGGUAGAAUUCAGAGUGUAGCGGUGAAAUGCGUAGAUAUUCUGAGGAAUACCAGUGGCGAAGGCGGCCCCCUGGCUUGAUACUGACGCUGAGGUGCGAAAGCGUGGGGAGCAAACAGGAUUAGAUA
rnacentral:rRNA from 1 species